CACCGCUGCCCAGGGCGGAGGAAACACCCUUGACUCGUGGGGCUGGGAACGCGGCUCCCCCGGCCUGGCUAAGGCUCCGCAGCGUCCUGGAGCCGCUUCGACGGGGGCUGCCCGGACAUUAGGACCAGUGCACAGGCUAUACACACAAGGGAUCAGAAUUAAGGUUGCAGUAGCUGCAGCAGCAACUGCAAUAACGCUGUUUUCCCUGGAGCCAGAGAAGGAAAGAUGGGCACCCUUCUUGCUCCAACAACUGCAUCCCUUUCCCUGUGCAGCCCAAGCCGUGGAGCUCUCAGAAGGUUUCAUGGGCCUGGGGACUGUGCCACUGAGAUAGCUGAGCCUUGCUGUUAUUCAGGUAGUAAUGAAACAAACAAACAAACCCCAUAACUUCUGGAUGAAACUUCUGAGAGAGGGCCAGAACUUCCCCUCGUGGUGGUAAAACCUGUAGCAGGAGGAUCUGGUGAUGGCCUGUUCAAUGUCAUGAAAGGGCAUGCAGUAGGAACCAGGGAGAUCAGAAGGGAUUAGUUUAGAGUAGUCAAAGCAAGAUGUGGUGAGGGAAUGGGCUAUGGUUUUGGUAGGGUUGGAACACAAAAGAUCCGUUUUGGAGAUGUUGUAAGGACAGACAGAUAGGUUUUAAUGUCAGGCUGGAU